AAAGAACCAGGUAUCACUCUGGUACAUGUGCUGCUGGGGAAUGAACUCAGGACCUCAUGCAUGACUGAGGUGGUUGUGGUGGUGGGGGUAAAAGUCCCAAAGAAACAAGUAGGACUUACUUGAAAUCCACAAGAGGUUAGCAAAAGAGAUCAACAAUGUAAGCAACUAGAUACUGUUCGCUGCAGAUUCAAUGUCUGGGUAGUAAAGGUGUUGGUUCUCUCUGAACCAAUCUACAAGUUUAAUGAAAUUCCUAUUAUAGUAAUCCCAGUUUGUUUUUCUGUGGACAUAAAUUUGCUCUCACAUUCACAGGGCAAAGCAAUGCAAUUAGAGGAGGAAAUUAGAGCCCUCAGUGGAUUGGAGAUGGAAACAUAAAACUCUGACACUAAGAACCAUUAGCCAUUAGGGAGGUGGCAGGCAUUAGGGAGCAGACUGGUCAUGAUGGGUAUGGACAGGAUCUGGGCAGGGAGUGGAGGAGUGAGGAUGAAAAAGGGGCUCUGGAAACAUUCAGCAGUUUAAGAAACUCCAGGGGAGACUUCUUAUGAUCCAGCUACCGUUCACUGCUCAGUGCUCACUGUUGGACAUUUAUCCAGAGGAAAUGAAAAGGUCCCCACAAAAACCUGUAUACUGGGCUAAGCUGUGAGUUUAACCACAAAUUUAACAAGGAACGAGUGGAGAAAUGACCUGCAUGGUACACCAAGCACUGUGCCAGUGUCCUAACACAACAUUGUGCCAUGAUGCUGUGGUUGAGAACCUGGGAGGAGGGCACAAGGGCUCUAGCUGCAUCAUCCUGCCUGGGCUCACAGGACUGUUUCAGAAGCUGUCUCUGCCUUUCUCCUCCAUGUGUGAGGAACCCCCACCCCACCCCCACCCCCAGCAUGGUAGAGGAAGUCCUGAAGCUGUUUGGACAACAGAAGUCAGGAGUGGCUGGAGGCUGACCAGUGUUCCUGUGGGAUGGGCAGGAUGGUCUGGGAGAGGUCUCCAGCAUAUCAGCCCAGUGGUACCGGCUUCUGCCCCAGCGACCCGUUCUUGUGCUACCUGCCAGCACAGACUGUAGGGAUACCUCCAGUU